CAGGGAGACAACAAAAUGUUUAAUAUUAUUAUUUUGUCACCUUAGGUCGAUCGGUAUCUCACGUUCUUAAUUUAUUAAGAAUUUCAUUUCCUAAGUUUUUCUAGGUCACACCCAUUAUUUUUCCUGGGCCAUUAGCUCAGGUGGUUAGAGCGCACCCCUGAUAAGGGUGAGGUCCCUGGUUCAAGUCCAGGAUGGCCCAUAUCUCUAUGUUGGGGGUAUAGCUCAGUUGGUAGAGCGCCUGCUUUGCAAGCAGGAUGUCAGCGGUUCGAGUCCGCUUACCUCCACUGAUUACCACCUCUUCCAUAAUCUGUAGAAAGGAAAUGUUUUGAGUUGUGAUCAAAUUCUGAACGAAUCUAGCUUCCUAAUGUAACUAUUAAGAUGCUGGACUCAUUGAAUAAAUUUCAUUGUUUUCAGAGAACCUUGACAACUGCAUAGAUUAUUUUUUAAAGACAAUAAGCAUCUUUAAUGAUGCAGAUUUAUUAUUUGUGCAAAUGCAUUAAUAACAAUUCUAUUAAGCUGAUGCUUCAAUUUUGAAGUUAUU
rnacentral:tRNA from 1 species